rnacentral:snRNA from 1 species
AUAUCUUUCUUGGCCUUUUGGCUAAGAUCAAGUGUAGUAUAUGUUCUUAUCAGCUUAAUAUCUGAUACAAUAGCUUUCUAUUGGGGCUCUCGGGCGUCGCUUGUGCAUUGCACUAUAGCACCAGCUUGCCAAAAAGGCGAUGAGACCUUAAACCGCUUGCAGUUUCAUUGUGCAUUCAUGAAAGUGGUUUCUUGGGUGAUUUUCUUUGAAAGUUGAAU